rnacentral:rRNA from 1 species
UACGUAGGCAGCGAGCGUUGUUCGGAGUUACUGGGCGUAAAGAGUGCGUUGGCGGUUUUCUAAGUUUGGUGUGAAAUCUCCCGGCUCAACUGGGAGGGUGCGCCGAAGACUGGAAGGCUUGAGUAUGGGAGAGGUAAGCGGAAUUCCUGGUGUAGCGGUGAAAUGCGUAGAUAUCAGGAGGAACACCUGCGGUGUAGACGGCUUACUGGACCAUAACUGACGCUGAGGCACGAAAGCGUGGGUAGCAAACAGG